rnacentral:misc_RNA from 1 species
AUUAGAAUCGAAUCAUUUUCAGCUACUAAAAUCUACUGUCUUUCUCGUCUCGUAUCUAUGUACUCCCUAAGUCCGCCGAACGAAGGUAUUUAGGGUACUGACUGGAUGUUACUAGUGUGACUCCUAGCUGUAUUGCCUGUAUUGCUGAUCUCAUCUACAGUCAUGACAAUCAUCCUAAGUAGUAGAUAGUAGUAGAUGGUAGUAGUGGUAGAUUAGUAGGUCCUAGCAGGUAACAUUGCAGAGCUGUAGUCUCGCAUAGUAGGUAGUAGUAGUAGUAGCAGUAGUAGUAGCGGUAAUAGUACAGUAGUAGCAGUAGUAGUAGCAGUAGUAGUAGUAGUAGUAGUGGUAGUAGUAGUAGUAGUAACAGUAGCAGUAGCAGUAGUAGUAGUAGUAGUAGUAAUAGUAGUAGUAGUAGUAGUAGUAGUAGUAGUAGUAGUAGUAGUAGCAGCAGCAGUAGUAGUAGUACUAGUAGAAAUAGUAGUAGUACAAUAGUAACAGUAGCGGUAGCAGUUGUAGUAGUAGUACUAAUAGAAGUAGUAGUAACAGUAGCAGUAGUAACAGUAGCAGUAGCAGUAGCAGUAGCAGUAGCAGUAGCAGUAGCAGUAGUAAUAGUAGUAGUAGUAGUAGUAGUAGUAGUAGUAGUAGUAGUAGUAGUAGUAGUAGUAGUAGUAGUAGUAGUAGUAGUAGUAGUUGUGGUGGUGGUGGUGGUAGUUGCGGAUUCAACGGGCUGCAACGGGUCAGCGUCGAGACUGACUCGCCGCACGCGUUUAGAUUUGUCGACCUAUGGAAAACACAGAGAGAGAGGAGGACAAGAGACGCCCACGUUUUCAUUUAUAGCUCUUCUUCAUAUUCGUUUCCUUUCUUUCUUUCUUUCUUUUGCUCUCUUUUCUCUUUCAUCGCUUGCCUUUCUAGCCGCGUUUCCUCGUCAUACAUCUUUCGUUCUAUCGUGAUUGCCAUUCGUACGAGAAACGAGAGAAAGAGGGAAAGAAAGCGAUUAAUUCCAAACCCGCUGGAGAUGUCUUUGUGCCGAAGUUACACUCGUUCUAGUUUUUUCUCUCACAUCCGUCGCAGCAUAUGACGCGACGCAGCUUCGACUAUCGACAGAUUUUAUCAAAGACUACUCCGAGCUCUUUCUCUCCGUAACCCUCUCGAUCUCCGGCAAAAUUUCUUUAGCUCGCGUGUUGGCUCUCUUCUGAUCCUUGCUCUGAUCGUGAUCCUCGAACAUCGAUCGUCGAGGUUCUAUCAGCUCCGUAUUUGUAUCUCGUACGCGUGCUUUUUCCAUCGAUUUUGAUAAUUUACCGCCCGCAACUACUUCGAUCUCCGAUUGUACACGCUAACACAACCAACGAUAUUCGAAAGGUAUACACAUCUACGGCUACGAAUACGGAGCUGGAAACGAUAAUCUUGGCAGUGGCUGAACCGUCCAGCCCGUUCUGGAUAUACGUGUAGGUAUAAUCGUGCAUUAUUUGCUCGCUUCGUGAAAACCCUCGGGAGAAGCGCGGUAGAUACGUUCGUGUUUGCACGAGGGAGACUCAGUCGCGCGCGUGUAAAUCGAGAAAAGGGCUUAUCACGAGACCGACCAGCGAAUAAACUAAAAGCUGUCCGAGAAGUAUUCGUCGAUUUCAUUUCUCGCGACGAUGAGGUCUCCAUCGGUCGAUUCGAUUACCGUGACAUACAGUAGAAGCGCGUAGAUAAUGCCAACGAAUUAGCAUUGCCGCGGCGAGAGUAAUCGCGGGUACUUUCGUGAUAUUUUAUCACGUCAGAUUACAUCGACUAUUCGAAUCAAUGUUAAUGCCGCGGCUGAUUGCGCACAUGAAUUUAAGAUUACUCGCGUAAACAUCGAAAAGGCAUUAAUCAGAUGAAUACAAACGAUGGUACUUUGCGUAAUCGCGAGCACGCUAUGUUUUUGCGAUCGUUGGAAAAGAUGCUCUCGCGAUAAGCCCACAAGU